rnacentral:siRNA from 1 species
UAGCAUGUUUGGAUUUUAUGAUC